GGAAAGUUCGGGCUCGGCUGGGCUCGGCUCUGCGCUGAUGGCUGCGAGAGGCAACCAAAAACCUGGACAAUCCUGGACAAUCUGGACAAGUGGCGUUACAUGCAAGCAAACAUGCACAGGUGACAAUAUGGCACUGGAACAGGUCACAGGGCAAGAUUUGGAUGCUGAGCUCAAUGAAGAAGAAGAGCUGGAGGGAAAAGAAGACAGUAAUGAGGAUGAUUAUGCUG